rnacentral:rRNA from 1 species
AACGCGAAGAACCUUACCUGGGCUCGAAAUGCUAUGGACAGCCUGUGAAAGCAGGUCUCCCCUUAAAAGGCCGUAGUAUAGGUGCUGCAUGGCUGUCGUCAGCUCGUGUCGUGAGAUGUUGGGUUAAGUCCCGCAACGAGCGCAACCCUUGUCCUGUGUUGCCAUACCUUAAAAAGUGGAACUCGCAGGAGACCGCCAGGGAUAACCUGGAGGAAGGUGGGGAUGACGUCAAGUCCUCAUGGCCUUUAUGUCCAGGGCUACACACGUGCUACAAUGGACGGUACAAUGGGCUGCCAACCCGCGAGGGGGAGCCAAUCCCAAAAAACCGUUCUCAGUUCGGAUUGCAGGCUGCAACUCGCCUGCAUGAAGCUGGAAUCGCUAGUAAUGGCGGAUCAGAACGCCGCCGUGAAUACGUUCCCGGGCCUUGUACACACCGAUAGC